GCGGACGUGGUGGAAUUGGUAGACACGCUAGACUUAGGAUCUAGUGAGAUUAUCUCGUGAGAGUUCGAGUCUCUCUGUCCGCA
rnacentral:tRNA from 1 species